rnacentral:rRNA from 1 species
UGGGGAAUAUUGCACAAUGGGGAACCCUGAUGCAGCGACGCCGCGUGAGCGAUGAAGUAAUUCGUUAUGUAAAGCUCUAUCAGCAGGGAAGAAGAAAUGACGGUACCUGAGUAAGAAGCCCCGGCUAACUACGUGCCAGCAGCCGCGGUAAUACGUAGGGGGCGAAGCGUUAUCCGGAUUUACUGGGUGUAAAGGGAGCGUAGACGGCGAUGCAAGCCAGAUGUGAAAGCCCGCGGCUCAACUGCGGGACUGCAUUUGGAACUGUAUGGCUGGAGUGCAGGAGAGGCAGGCGGAAUUCCUAGUGUAGCGGUGAAAUGCGUAGAUAUUAGGAGGAACACCAGUGGCGAAAGGCGGCCUGCUGGAACUGUAAACUGACGUUGAGGCUCGAAAGCGUGGGGAGCAAAACAGGAUUAGAUACCC